GGUUAUAUUACCUAAAUUUGAGAUAAUUGAAUGUUUCAGCCCAGCGUGCAUUCAGCUCCUGUGGCUUGAAGUGAAAUUUUGGAAAGCUCGGCGAAAGCGAAGCAAU
rnacentral:sRNA from 1 species